rnacentral:rRNA from 1 species
CCUACGGGCGGCAGCAGUGAGGAAUAUUGGUCAAUGGGCGGAAGCCUGAACCAGCCAAGUAGCGUGUAGGAUGACGGCCCUACGGGUUGUAAACUGCUUUUAUACGGGAAUAACGCGCCUUACGUGUAGGGCUUUGCAUGUACCGUAUGAAUAAGGACCGGGUAAUUCCGUGCCAGCAGCCGCGGUAAUACGGAAGGUCCGGGCGUUAUCCGGGUUUAGUGGGUUUAACGGGGGCGUAGGCCGCAUGUCAAGCGUGCUGUGAAAUGUCCGGGCUCAACCCGGGCCUUGCAGCGCGAACUGGCGUGCUAGAGUGCGCGGAAGGCAGGCGGAAUUCGUCGUGUAGCGGUGAAAUGCUUAGAUAUCACGAAGAACUCCGAUUGCGAAGGCAGCCUGCUGGACUGUAACUGACGCUGAUGCUCGAAAGUGUGGGGAUCAAACAGGAUUAGAUACCCGAGUAGUC